CCCGUUGAUCCUGCGGGAGGUUGCUGCUAUUAGGAUUCGACUAAGCCAUGCAAGUCAGAGGGUUCUUCGGAACACAGGCAGAAUGCUUAAUAACACGUCGGUAAUUUGCCCUUAAGUCUGGGAUAACUUUGGGAAACUGAAGCUAAAACCGGAUAGGAGAUUGAGGCUGGAAUGCGCUUUCUUUCAAAAGUAAUGCUUAAGGAUAAGCUGGCGGCUGAUUAGCUUGUUGGUGAGGUAAAGGCUCACCAAGGCGAAGAUCAGUAGGGGCCAUGAGAGUGGUAGCCCCAAGAAGGGUACUGAGACACUGACCCUAGCCCUACGGGGUGCAGCAGGCGCGAAACCUUUACAAUGCACGCAAGUGUGAUAAGGGAAUCCUAAGUGCUUAUACACUGUAUAGGCUUUUUUCAAGGGUAAAUACCUUGGAGAAUAAGUGAUGGGCAAGACGGGUGCCAGCCGCCGCGGUAACACCUGCGUCACGAGUGGGAGCCACGUUUACUGGGCCUAAAGCGUUCGUAGCCGGAAUGAUAAAUUUCUUGUGAAAUCGUCAAGCUCAACUUGACGGCGUGCAGGAAAAACUGUUAUUCUUGAGACUGGGAGGAGCUAGGAGUAUUCUAGGGGGAGCGGUAAAAUGCUAUAAUCCCUAGAGGACUACCUGUGGCGAAGGCGCCUAGCUAGAACAGGUCUGACGGUGAGGAACGAAAGCCAGGGGAGCGAUCAGGAUUAGAUACCCUAGUAGUCCUGGCUGUAAACGCUGCGAGCAAGAUGUUGCGCUUUCUUCGGGGAAGUGCAGUGUCGUAACGAAGGUGUUUAGCUCGCCGCCUGGGAAGUACGGUCGCAAGACUGAAACUUAAAGGAAUUGGCGGGGAGAUGCUACAACAGGUGCGGCGUGCGGUUUUAUCUAAUUUUACGCAGAGAAUCUCACCAGAAGCGACAGCAGUAUGAAAGUCAGAUUAAAGGUUUUACUGGACGCGCUGAGAGGUAGUGCAUGGCCGCCGUCAGCUCGUGCCGUAAGGUGUCCAUUUAAGUAUGGUAACGAGCGAGACCUGCGCCUACAAUUGCCAGCAAGUUCUUUUGAACGAUUGGGCACAUUGUGGGGACUGCCUUGGUAACAAGGAGGAAGGUGCAGGCAACGGUAGGUCUGUAUGCUCCGAAUCUUCUGGGCUACACGCGCGCAACAAUGGUAGGUACAACGGGAUGCGACUCUGAAAAGAGAAGCUAAUCCUCCAAAGCCUAUCCUAGUCUAGAUUGAGGAUUGUAACUCAUCCUCAUGACAACGGAAUCUGUAGUAAUCGGAUUUUAUCAUAGUCCGGUGAAUAUGUCCCCAUCUCUUGCACACACCGCCCAUCAAACCAACCGAGCAGGGUCUAGAUGAGGCUUAUCUUUAAGGUAACUCAAAUCUGGGCUCAGUGAGGUGGGUUAAGUUGUCACAAGGUA
rnacentral:rRNA from 1 species